rnacentral:rRNA from 1 species
GACGAACGCUGGCGGCGUGCUUAACACAUGCCAGUCGAACGGAAAGGCCCUGCUUUUGUGGGGUGCUCGAGUGGCGAACGGGUGAGUAACACGUGAGUAACCUGCCCUUGACUUUGGGAUAACUUCAGGAAACUGGGGCUAAUACCGGAUAGGAGCUCCUGCUGCAUGGUGGGGGUUGGAAAGUUUCGGCGGUUGGGGAUGGACUCGCGGCUUAUCAGCUUGUUGGUGGGGUAGUGGCUUACCAAGGCUUUGACGGGUAGCCGGCCUGAGAGGGUGACCGGCCACAUUGGGACUGAGAUACGGCCCAGACUCCUACGGGAGGCAGCAGUGGGGAAUACUGCACAAUGGGCGGAAGCCUGAUGCAGCAACGCCGCGUGCGGGAUGACGGCCUUCGGGUUGUAAACCGCUUUCGCCUGUGACGAAGCGUGAGUGACGGUAAUGGGUAAAGAAGCACCGGCUAACUACGUG